GACGAACGCUGGCGGCGUGCCUAACACAUGCAAGUCGAGCGGGGAACGGAUGGUAGCUUGCUACCGUUUGUUUCUAGCGGCGGACGGGUGAGUAACGCGUGAGCAACCUGCCUUUAUCAGGGGGAUAACGCAUCGAAAGAUGUGCUAAUACCGCGUAAGACCACAGCUUCACAUGGAGCGGGGGUCAAAGGAGCAAUCCGGAUAAAGAUGGGCUCGCGUCCGAUUAGCUAGUUGGUGAGAUAACAGCCCACCAAGGCGACGAUCGGUAGCCGACCUGAGAGGGUGAUCGGCCACAUUGGAACUGAGAGACGGUCCAAGACUCCUACGGGAGGCAGCAGUGGGGAAUAUUGGGCAAUGGGGCGAAAGCCUGACCCAGCAACGCCGCGUGAGGGAAGAAGGGUUUCGGCUCGUAAAACCUCUGUCCUAUGGGACGAAGGAAGUGACGGUACCAUAGGAGGAAGCCCCGGCUAACUACGUG
rnacentral:rRNA from 1 species